rnacentral:tRNA from 1 species
AAGGCUUUAAGUUAACUAAACUAACAGCCUUCAAAGCUGUAAAUAAAAAACACUUUUUAAGCCUUA